UGUUCGGAAUUCCGCAGAGAUGUGGAAGUGCUCGAAAGAGAACCGGAACACAGGUGCUGCAUGGCUGUCGUCAGCUCGUGUCGUGAGAUGUUGGGUUAAGUCCCGCAACGAGCGCAACCCUUGUCAUUAGUUGCUACGAAAGGGCACUCUAAUGAAACUGCCGGUGACAAACCGGAGGAAGGUGGGGAUGACGUCAAGUCCUCAUGGCCCUUAUGGGUAGGGCUUCACACGUCAUACAAUGGUCGGUACAGAGGGCUGCCAACCCGUAAGGGGGAGCCAAUCCUUUAAAACCGAUCGUAGUCCGGAUUGAGGUCUGCAACUCGACCUCAUGAAGUCGGAAUCGCUAGUAAUCGCGGAUCAGCAUGUCGCGGUGAAUACGUUCCCGGGUCUU
rnacentral:rRNA from 1 species